UCCUUUUUAUUUUCUAAAUCCUUAUGGGGGAGAGGGAUAAAAGAAGGAUAAGUUCGUGAAGAAAUACUUUCUUCUAUGGGACAACAAGAAGAACGCGAAUGUUCGCCAUAUUAAAUUCGGCAAGUAACAAUUACUCGCUCGAAAACGAUCUUGGCACUCGACGAUGAUGGAAACUAUUACAUUCAAUGGUUAUGAGCGAAAGAGAGUUCUGUGUUGCCACUGCCGUCGUCUCACGCUCUCCUCCUCUCUCGACCUAAUUCGCGGACGAUCGUAGAAGCGGACGCGCCCGUUCGUGGCGUCCCUGAGCGUCAAGGACGGAGACUCAAGCCGAGAGAGCCGAUGAACCGUACGAAUGUGCGAGAGUUAUUCUAUUACUACCUUUCCAAGUUAAUCUAAACUAUGCAGAACAAUAAUGCAACCUGCAUGUGUAUUGUGAAAAAGAUUAGAGCUUGAGUUAAACGAGA
rnacentral:lncRNA from 1 species